CAAAAGAUGCCCUAAAUAUCUGAGGACUAUGGAGGUUGUUAGUGAUGAAACUUCCGGAUCCCCACCGAUGCCCUUAGUCACACUUGAAAAUAGACAGAUUACUGUAAUUGAAAAACCUUUCGAAGAAAAUACAGAAGCUCUCUCACGCCCGGAAACGCCAACCUCACACCACCCUCACACCCGAUCAGCACUAGCAACGAUUACAGAAGCAGCAGUAGAAAUUAGAACGGAAGAGCCAGAUUUUGUUCUACCUAUCCAAAG